UAUCUUCAGCCACUCCCUGACUUCUUGGCCUGAUGUUAUCUGACCAGCACUGAGGGCCACACAGCAUGUCCUGUGGGACUGGAGAAAUAUGGAGAAUGCAGCACACUUGCUUCCUACUGAAGGAUUAAAAUCAAAUUGUUUUGGGACAGCAGAGGAUGAAGAAACUCAUUUUGACUGAAGUUAUUGGAUGAGACAUGGCUGUGGACAACUUCAGAGAAGAUAUAUUUAAGCAGAACCUUAAAC
rnacentral:lncRNA from 10 species